GGCGGGUUAGCCUAGCGGUUAUAGCUUAGGUCUUGUGACCAGAAGGUCCUGAGAUCGAAUCAAUCUCGCUA
rnacentral:tRNA from 1 species